rnacentral:tRNA from 1 species
GGAGUUGUAGCUCAGUGGUAGAGCACUUGCCUUGCAAGUGUGAGGCACUGGAUUCGAUCCUAGCACCA